UACCCUUAGGAAAAGAAAUCAAUUGAGAUUCCCUCAGUAGCGGCGAGCGAACGGGGAUCAGCCCAUUAAGUUAUGUGUGUUUUAGUGGAACGCUCUGGGAAGUGCGAACGUAGAGGGUGAUAUUCCCGUACACGAAAGGGCACACAUAAUGAUGACGAGUAGGGCGAGGCACGUGAAACCUUGUCUGAAUAUGGGGGGACCAUCCUCCAAGGCUAAAUACUCCUGACUGACCGAUAGUGAACCAGUACCGUGAGGGAAAGGCGAAAAGAACCCCUGUGAGGGGAGUGAAAUAGAUCCUGAAACCGCAUGCAUACAAGCAGUGGGAGCACCUUCGUGGUGUGACUGCGUACCUUUUGUAUAAUGGGUCAGCGACUUAUAUUCAGUAGCGAGGUUAACCGUAUAGGGGAGCCGUAGAGAAAUCGAGUCUUAAUAGGGCGUUUAGUUGCUGGGUAUAGACCCGAAACCAGGCGAUCUAUCCAUGAGCAGGUUGAAGGUUGGGUAACACUAACUGGAGGACCGAACCCACUGUCGUUGAAAAGCCAGGGGAUGACUUGUGGAUAGGGGUGAAAGGCUAAUCAAGCCUGGUGAUAGCUGGUUCUCCCCGAAAGCUAUUUAGGUAGCGCCUCGGACGAAUACCAUAGGGGGUAGAGCACUGUUUCGGCUAGGGGGUCAUCCCGACUUACCAAACCGAUGCAAACUCCGAAUACCUAUGAGUACUAUCCGGGAGACAGACUGCGGGUGCUAACGUCCGUAGUCAAGAGGAAAACAAUCCAGACCGCCAGCUAAGGCCCCAAAAUCAUAGUUAAGUGGGAAACGAUGUGGGAAGGCAUAGACAGCUAGGAGGUUGGCUUAGAAGCAGCCACCCUUUAAAGAAAGCGUAAUAGCUCACUAGUCGAGUCGGCCUGCGCGGAAGAUGUAACGGGGCUAAAACUAUGUGCCGAAGCUGCGGAUGUAUACUUUGUAUACGUGGUAGGGGAGCGUUCUGUAAGCCGAUGAAGGUGUGUUGAGAAGCAUGCUGGAGGUAUCAGAAGUGCGAAUGCUGACGUGAGUAACGACAAAACGGGUGAAAAACCCGUUCGCCGAAAGACCAAGGGUUCCAGUCCAACGUUAAUCGGGGCUGGGUGAGUCGACCCCUAAGGCGAGGCCGAAAGGCGUAGUCGAUGGGAAAAUGGUUAAUAUUCCAUUACUUCUGUGUAAUGCGAUGAGAGGACGGAGAAGGCUAAAUCAGCCUGGCGUUGGUUGUCCAGGUGAAAGGAUGUAGGCAUGUAUCUUAGGCAAAUCCGGGGUACUCUAUGCUGAGAUCUGAUAGCAAGCUGUACUUGUACAGCGAAGUGGUUGAUGCCAUGCUUCCAGGAAAAGUCUCUAAGCUUCAGUUACACAGGAAUCGUACCCGAAACCGACACAGGUGGUCAGGUCGAGUAGACCAAGGCGCUUGAGAGAACUCUGCUGAAGGAACUAGGCAAAAUGGUACCGUAACUUCGGGAGAAGGUACGCUGUUGUUGGUGAUGGAACUCGCUUCCUGAGCUGACGACAGCCGCAGAAACCAGGCCGCUGCAACUGUUUAUUAAAAACAUAGCACUCUGCAAACACGAAAGUGGACGUAUAGGGUGUGAUGCCUGCCCGGUGCUGGAAGGUUAAUUGAUGGGGUUAGCGUAAGCGAAGCUCUUGAUCGAAGCCCCAGUAAACGGCGGCCGUAACUAUAACGGUCCUAAGGUAGCGAAAUUCCUUGUCGGGUAAGUUCCGACCUGCACGAAUGGCAUAAUGAUGGCGGCGCUGUCUCCAGCAGAGGCUCAGUGAAAUCGAAAUCGCUGUGAAGAUGCAGUGUACCCGCGGCUAGACGGAAAGACCCCGUGAACCUUUACUGCAGCUUGACACUGAACUUUGACCUUACUUGUGUAGGAUAGGUGGGAGGCUUUGAAGCUGGAACGCUAGUUCCAGUGGAGCCGUCCUUGAAAUACCACCCUGGUAAUGUUGAGGUUCUAACUCUGUCCCGUGAUCCGGGACGAGGACCGUGUCUGGUGGGUAGUUUGACUGGGGCGGUCUCCUCCUAAAGAGUAACGGAGGAGUACGAAGGUGCGCUCAGCGUGGUCGGAAAUCACGCGUAGAGUAUAAAGGCAAAAGCGCGCUUAACUGCGAGACCCACAAGUCGAGCAGGUACGAAAGUAGGUCUUAGUGAUCCGGUGGUUCUGUAUGGAAGGGCCAUCGCUCAACGGAUAAAAGGUACUCUGGGGAUAACAGGCUGAUACCGCCCAAGAGUUCAUAUCGACGGCGGUGUUUGGCACCUCGAUGUCGGCUCAUCUCAUCCUGGGGCUGAAGCAGGUCCCAAGGGUAUGGCUGUUCGCCAUUUAAAGAGGUACGCGAGCUGGGUUUAGAACGUCGUGAGACAGUUCGGUCCCUAUCUACCGUGGGCGCUGGAAAUUUGAGAGGAUCUGCUCCUAGUACGAGAGGACCAGAGUGGACGAACCUCUGGUGUACCGGUUGUGACGCCAGUCGCAUCGCCGGGUAGCUAUGUUCGGAAGGGAUAACCGCUGAAAGCAUCUAAGCGGGAAGCCUACCUCAAGAUAAGAUUUCCCUAGGACUUUAUGUCCUCUAAAGAGCCGUUCGAGACUAGGACGUUGAUAGGUUGGAUGUGGAAGCAUAGUGAUAUGUGAAGCUGACCAAUACUAAUUGCUCGUGAGGCUUGACUAUACAACACCCAAGCAGUUG
rnacentral:rRNA from 1 species